UACGUAGGGGGCGAGCGUUGUCCGGAUUUAUUGGGCGUAAAGAGCUCGUAGGCGGCUGUUCGAGUCGGGUGUGAAAUCCUGAGGCUUAACCUUGGGUCUGCAUUCGAUACUGGGCGGCUUGAGUCUGGUAGGGGGAUCUGGAAUUCCUGGUGUAGCGGUGAAAUGCGCAGAUAUCAGGAGGAACACCGGUGGCGAAGGCGGGUCUCUGGGCAGUAACUGACGCUGAGGAGCGAAAGCGUGGGGAGCGAACAGG
rnacentral:rRNA from 1 species